rnacentral:rRNA from 1 species
GACGAACGCUGGCGGCGUGCCUAAUACAUGCAAGUCGAGCGAACAGAUCAGGAGCUUGCUCCUCUGACUUUAGCGGCGGACGGGUGAGUAACACGUGGAUAACCUACCUAUCAGACUGGGAUAACAUCGGGAAACCGGAGCUAAUACCGGAUAAUUUAUCGAACCGCAUGGUUCCAUAGUGAAAGACGGUUUUGCUUUGAGUUAAAGCUUGACCCGCCGCGCAUUAGUUAGUUGGUAAGGUAACGGCUUACCAAGGCAGCGAGGGUAAACCGACCCGAGAGGGUGGUCGGCCACACUGGACCUGAGACACGGUCCAGACUCCUAGGGGGGGCAGCAGUAGGGAAUCUUCCGCAAUGGGCGAAAGCCGGACGGAGCAACGCCGCGUAAGUGAUGAAGGUCUUCGGAUGGUAAAACUCUGUUAUUAGGGAGGAACAAAUGUGUAAGUAACUAUGCAGAUCUUGACGGUACCUAGACAAAAAGCCACGGCUAACUACGUG